GACGAACGCUGGCGGCGUGCCUAAUACAUGCAAGUCGAACGCAGUUGGGACGGGUGAGUAACCCGUGGGUAACCUCCCAUCAGAGGGGAUAACACUUGGAAACAGGUGCUAAACCGAUACUGAUGGAUGGACCCGCGGUGCAUUAGCUAGUUGGUGGGGUAACGGCUCACCAAGGCCACGAUGCAUCGCCGACCUGGUGGGGUGAUACGGCAAACGGGGACUGAGACACGGCCCAGACUCCUAGUGGAGGCAGCAGUAGGGAAUCUUCGGCAAUGGACGAAUGUCUGAACGCGCAACGCCGCGUGAGUGAAGAGGGUUUUCGGAUCGUAAAGCUCUGUUGUUAGAGAAGCGGUAUCUAACCAGAAAGCCACGGCUAAUUACGUGCCAGCAGCCGCGGUAAUA
rnacentral:rRNA from 1 species